UAAAGAAUGCUCAGUGGUAGAGUGUGUGCUUAGCAUGCACGAGGUCCUGGGUUCAAUCCCCAGUACUUUUG
rnacentral:tRNA from 1 species